UACGAAGGGUGCAAGCGUUAAUCGGAAUUACUGGGCGUAAAGCGCGCGUAGGUGGUUCGUUAAGUUGGAUGUGAAAGCCCCGGGCUCAACCUGGGAACUGCAUCCAAAACUGGCGAGCGAGAGUAUGGCAGAGGGUGGUGGAAGUUCCUGUGGAGCGGUGACAGGCGUCGCUCGAGGAAGGAAAACCAGGGGCGAAGGCGACCACCUGGGCUAAUACUGACACUGAGUUGCUAAAGCUUGGUAAGCAAACAGUAUUAGAUACCCCCGUAGUCC
rnacentral:rRNA from 1 species